CGAGGAGGCACGCACCGCUGACCUUGGGACACCCCGCAUGCCCCUCGCUCCACAGCUGGCGGCACCACCGCCGCUGCCGGGAGCAUCGGCCCAAACCUCUUCCGGCAAACAGUCAGCAAGGGUACCCGCGGCCAUCUCCCGGUGACUGCAAGCUGUUCCCACUACCGUUUCUUGCAAGGCGUCUUCUCAAGAGGUUACACACCCAAGUCGUCUUCUCUGCCACAGCCGCCCAUCUCUUACUAUAACAAGGACGACGCGGCCAUCAUACGUCUGGCGGCAGUGUACCGGCUCCCAGCCGCGGCCGCUCAACUUGCUGGGUCAGCAGUUUUUCAACCGCCAUUGCGAGUCCUCCGAUGUCAGCCCAUCCCUCACCUCUCAUCGCCGCUGUGGCCGCGGCCGAGGUUUCCUGACGCGCCUACAACGACUGCACGUCCCCCAGGGCAUCACAAGCCGUCGCCCUCUCCACUACAUCAGCUGAUUAAUCUUGAGAAGAACCGCCGUUCUGCCCUCCCUUUGGCCUUCCAACCGAGCGGGAAGUUGGUUGACUUCGUCUCAGAGUUAGAGGUCAAGGUUCAGGAACACCCUCACCAUCAACCCCUCGCAACGGCAGCAGCAUUGCAAGCACAAAAUCAUGAUGUUGCGUUUUCUGACCAUCUUGUUGUCCCUCGGCUCCCUGCUUGCAACAACACCCAUCCACCUGAAGCCUGGUGCCCUCACGGCACACAUAGGAGAGGUCUUCCUCAUAAAAGAUGUGCUCCUCGUAAAAUAUCCAUAUACUUCCUUGACCAACACCCCGGACACAAUCAGGAUAGUCUCAGAAAAACUACUCGGCAUGGCAGACGCCAUCCGGGCUACCAAGACUAGGGAAUCAAAGGCACCUUCUAGUACCAACUCUCUGACUCUUUUUCAACUACUGGAGGAUAGGAUUCUGUUCUUACGGGGAAAAGUUGAUGAGGUAAACAUGGAU